rnacentral:rRNA from 1 species
UACGAAGGGGGCUAGCGUUGCUCGGAAUCACUGGGCGUAAAGGGUGCGUAGGCGGGGCUUUAAGUCAGGGGUGAAAUCCUGGAGCUCAACUCCAGAACUGCCUUUGAUACUGAAGAUCUUGAGUUCGGGAGAGGUGAGUGGAACUGCGAGUGUAGAGGUGAAAUUCGUAGAUAUUCGCAAGGACACCAGUGGCGAAGGCGGCUCACUGGCCCGAUACUGACGCUGAUGCACGAAAGCGUGGGGAGCAAACAGG